AUCUUCAGGGCGGGGUGCAAUUCCCCACUGGCGGUACAGUCCGCGACCCGCUGUUCUGCAGCGGCUGAACCGGUGCAACUCCGGUACCAACAGUUACAGUCUGGAUGGAAGAAGAA
rnacentral:ncRNA from 1 species